rnacentral:rRNA from 1 species
GUGCCAGCACCCGCGGUAAUACGUAGGGGGCAAGCGUUGUCCGGAAUUAUUGGGCGUAAAGCGCGCGCAGGCGGUUCCUUAAGUCAGAUGUGAAAGGCCACAGCUCAACUGUGGAGGGCCAUUGGAAACUGGGGAACUUGGGGACAGAAGAGGAGAGCGGAACUCCACGUGUAGCGGUGAAAUGCGUAGAUAUGUGGAGGAACACCAGUGGCGAAGGCGGCUCUCUGGUCUGUAACUGACGCUGAGGCGCGAAAGCAUGGGUAGCGAACAGGAUUAGAAACCCCCGUAGUCC